rnacentral:rRNA from 1 species
GAUGGCUUAGUGAGGCUUCAGAUCGAGCCAGGAAUGGGGGCAACUCUGUUCUGGGUUUGAGAAUUUAGACAAACUUGGUCAUUUAGAGGAACUAAAAGUCGUAACAAGGUUUCCGUAGGUGAACCUGCGGAAGGAUCAUUACUGAUUGACAUUUAUGUCAUUUUACACACUGUGAACUUUUAUUAGAGCAAAACUUAUUAAAACAUGUAAUUAUUAAAAAUAUAUCGUCAAGAAAAUAAUAAAGUGAAAACUUUCAACAACGGAUCUCUUGGUUCUCGCAUCGAUGAAGAGCGCAGCGAAAUGCGAUAAUUAAUGUGAAUUGCAGAUUUUCGUGAAUCAUCGAGUUCUUGAACGCACAUUGCGCCCUCUGGUAUUCCGGAGGGCAUGUCUGUUUGAGCGUCAUUUCAUUCUCACUUUACAGUGGUUAUGACAUUGUCAGAAAUGACUUUGUUGAAAAAGAUUAGGAAAACACCAAAGAACUAGGUUUACACCUCUUUGGAGUAUCCUUUGCGAAAAAAAAAAAUCAGAAAGUUGACCUCAAAUCAGAUAAUCAGAAAGUUUGACCUCAAAUCAGAUAGGAAUACCCGCUGAACUUAAGCAUAUCAAUAAGCGGAGGAAAAGAAACCAACAGGGAUUGCCUCAGUAGCGGCGAGUGAAGCGGCAAAAGCUCAAAUUUGAAAUCUGGUAGUUCUGCUACCCGAGUUGUAAUUUGUAGAAGACUGUCUUUGUAAGGGUGCCUGUCUAAGUUCCUUGGAACAGGACGUCGCAGAGGGUGAGAAUCCCGUGUGAUGGGUGGCCCGAACUUUUAAGACGUUUUCGAAGAGUCGAGUUGUUUGGGAAUGCAGCUCUAAGUGGGUGGUAAAUUCCAUCUAAAGCUAAAUAUUGGCGAGAGACCGAUAGCGAACAAGUACAGUGAUGGAAAGAUGAAAAGAACUUUGAAAAGAGAGUGAAACAGUACGUGAAAUUGUUGAAAGGGAAGGGUAUUUGAUCCGACAUGGGAUUUACUCAUCAUUGCUCCUUGUGGGUGGUGCUCUGGGUUUUUUCUGGGCCAGAAUCAGUUUGUGUGGCAGGAUAAAGGCUUGGGGAAGUAACUCUUCUGGAGUAAUAUAACCCUUGUUAAUGCUGCCUAUGCGGACUGAGGAAUGCGGUAUUUUACCAAGGAUUCUGGCAUAACGAUUAAAUACCGCCCGUCUUGAAACAUGGACCAAGGAGUCUAACGUCUAUGCGAGUGUUUGGGUGUA